CAGUAGCCGCGGGAAUACGUAGGUGGCAAGCGUUGUCCGGAAUUAUUGGGCGUAAAGGGCUCGCAGGCGGUUUCUUAAGUCUGAUGUGAAAGCCCCCGGCUCAACCGGGGAGGGUCAUUGGAAACUGGGAAACUUGAGUGCAGAAGAGGAGAGUGGAAUUCCACGUGUAGCGGUGAAAUGCGUAGAGAUGUGGAGGAACACCAGUGGCGAAGGCGACUCUCUGGUCUGUAACUGACGCUGAGGAGCGAAAGCGUGGGGAGCGAACAGGAUUAGAUGCCCGCGUAGUCCCUGUCUCUUAUAC
rnacentral:rRNA from 1 species